rnacentral:rRNA from 1 species
GUCUACGGCCAUGCCAUCUUGAACAAGCCUGAUGUCUGAUCUUGGAAGCUAAGCAGGGUCUGGCCUGGUUAGUACUUGGAUAGGAGACCACCUAGGAAGACCAGGUGCUGUAGACA